rnacentral:rRNA from 1 species
UAGGGAAUCUUCCGCAAUGGACGAAAGUCUGACGGAGCGACGCCGCGUGAGCGAAGAAGGUCUUCGGAUCGUAAAGCUCUGUUGUUAGGGAAGAAGAAGUGCCGUUCGAACAGGGCGGCACGGUGACGGUACCUAACGAGAAAGCCCCGGCUAACUACGUGCCAGCAGCCGUGGUAAUACGUAGGGGGCGAGCGUUGUCCGGAAUUAUUGGGCGUAAAGCGCGCGCAGGCGGUCCCUUAAGUCUGAUGUGAAAGCCCACGGCUUAACCGUGGAGGGUCAUUGGAAACUGGGGGACUUGAGUGCAGAAGAGGAGAGCGGAAUUCCACGUGUAGCGGUGAAAUGCGUAGAGAUGUGGAGGAACACCAGUGGCGAAGGCGGCUCUCUGGUCUGUAACUGACGCUGAGGCGCGAAAGCGUGGGGAGCAAACAGG